rnacentral:rRNA from 1 species
UAGAUACCCUGGUAGUCCAUGCCGUAAACGAUGAGUGCUAAGUGUUGGGAGGUUUCCGCCUCUCAGUGCUGCAGCUAACGCAUUAAGCACUCCGCCUGGGGAGUACGACCGCAAGGUUGAAACUCAAAGGAAUUGACGGGGGCCCGCACAAGCGGUGGAGCAUGUGGUUUAAUUCGAGCUACGCGAAGAACCUUACCAGGUCUUGACAUCUUGCGCUAACCUAAGAGAUUAGGCGUUCCCUUCGGGGACG